GGAACGGCUGCCUCUGCAGAUCCGUGAGCCCAUAGAACAGGGCGGAGGGGAUUGGAUUUGCUGAGCCAUCCGGGAUUGAACAACGAACUCGCCACAGCCGUGCUGGUCAGGGACAGCGGGGACCGUGGGCACGGUCCCUCUGGUUUUCAGACCUGGAGAAAAGAUCUGAAGCAAUUUUAAAUUAAGACUAUAUUCCCAGACCUGUCAACAAUAUAGUAUGAAUCACAGAACUGAGUACUUUCAUUAUUACUCACCAAACUUUCAAGUGUGUCUGCUGACAUCUCCGUGCUCAGUCUGGACUAUUGAUGUGAGCACUGCUGUGCUCCAAAGGAGCUCUUAGCAUGUCCAAGUGGUGUUCAAAAUGUAACCCGAUCGCAAGGGUUCGUAAGGAAACCAAGGAUUGCCCGGCCAGGCUCAAGUCUUCCUCAUCCUUCUUCCUUCUGUCAUCAUUUGAGAAUGGUCACCGUACGUGGCAUGAUUUGGUAACCGGAGGUCCUGAGCGCAAAGGUUCUCAAACCUGAACAGAUUUCACAGCCACCCACCUGGAGGGCUGGGCACACCGAUUGUUUCCCGAGUUUCUGAACAGGACUGUUGCCCAGGCUGGAAUGAAUGCAGUGGCAUGAUCACAGUUCACUGCAGCCUCAACCUCCCGGGCUCAAGCGAUCCUCCCAUCUCAGCCUCCCAGAUACCUGGGACCACAGGUAUGUGCCAUCACGCCCAGCUAAUUUUUUGUAUUUUUGUUAAAGACAGGGUUUCACCAUGUUGCCCAAGCUGGUCUUGAACUCCUAGGCUCAAGUGAUCUGCCUGCCUUGGCCUCCUGAAGUGCUGGGAUUACACGUGUGAGCCACCACACCUGGCCUCAUCCCUGAAGCAUUUUCUGCCAUGUCUUAGGCUGCAUUGGUGACAUAAUCUGGGGGCUGCCGCCCCUCACAGCUACGUGACUUCAUACGCAAGCUCCUUGGCCUCACUGUGCCUCAGUUUCCUCAUCUGUAAAAUGGAGACAAUAAUAACACCUGCCCCUAGGUGGCUGUGAGCAUUGCAUGAGAUAACAUGUGUGUCAGUCAGGGGUUUUGGUUGCAAGCUAGGGAUCCAACUCUGGGUGAUUAAAUCAGAGAGGAAUUUAUUGGAGGGUAUUGGGUAGCUUAUAGGUUUGGGAGAAAGUCAGGAGAACUAGCCAAACCUGUCAGAACUCUGGCCAAAUUCACAUCAGAGAGCGGCUCUGGCAAACUCAGGAUGCUAGAUCCGCAUGGGGGUACCACCUCUUGAGCCUGCUCCUUUGUCUCUUGAGUCACCUUCAGAGGCUGGGCAGGAGCCUCUGGCUCCCCCGUGGAGGUCUCAACCUCACCCCCUUAGCUUCAGGGAAGGCUGGGGAACCAUCUGAUGGUUUCAGCAGCUAUAGUGCCUCAUAAGUCUGUAAGGUGGGGAAUUCCCCAACCUAGGAAACGAGCUCAGAUGAGGAGCAAGAGAGAAAGAAGAGGGGAUGGGGUGUGGAGAAGAGGAGAGGAUGCCUUUGGAGCAGAAGCCAGCCGUGGCAAGCAAACAGGUUGGUCAUCGCAGGUGUCCUCCACCACCCCAGGCUCCCUUACCUCCCCUUGGCCUGCUAUCGGAUCUAAAGAGGCUACCGAAAAAGAGGAGGUGCAAAACAGAGGCAUGAGUUGUUCAAAGUCAAAGAACACAAUGAGGGAAGAAUUAGUGAUUUCAGAACUGGAAUGAACCUUAUAGCUCAUCGAAACCAGAUGCCCCAUUUUACAGAGGAAUGAGGCAUUCGGAGGCUAAAUGACUCGUGCGGGUCCCCCAAUAGCUGAUGGCGAAGCUGUGAAUUCAGACCCCCCACUUCGCUUGAGCAGUGACGGGAAGCUGGUGACUUCAGGCUCCAGCAGGUCAGCCCGGGGUUCAGGGGGCGGCUCCUGGGCUCCUGCUCAGCAGCAGCUGGAGGGGGGCUCCCCCUUCCUGAAGCUUUGAGAGCUGGGGGGCUGAGCACAUUCUUGGGCUGUUGGGUGACACAAUUCCCCUCUCUGAGUCCCCCAAAGGAAUGGCUGUGGCUUCCUUCAGUUACAGGGCUUCCUAUAUUAAAUCUCAGCUCUUCGAAACACCCAGAGUGGUUUAUCUUGUUCCGACUGGACCCCAAUUGAAACAGACAUAACACAAGGAAAAGAGCCCAGGAUUUCAAGGUGGAACCUGGUUUUGCCACUUACCAUUUGUGUGGCUUUGGAGGCUGGCCCUGGUGACCUGCCCACCUCCUUGUUUGUCUCCUGGAGACUGACCCUAGUUGCAGGAAAACAGGCUCAGGGCUGCCACUGAUUCUACAUUAUGAUUCCCAAAAUUAACUGAAGUUCUGUACGUCGGCACAAAGUUGUGGCUUUGCCAUCUGACAGAGGAGGCGCAGCAGUCGCCUCUGGCGGGGUAGACUGAGACCUGAACGCUGAGGGACUUAAGACCAGCGGUGCCGUCCAGGCCUGGCUGCAGACGGAAACUACUUUAAGAUAAGCUCCACCAAAAAUAGAGAGGGAAUCAAGAAGAUUAAGACACAGGAUCCAGCCCAACGCUCCAGCAUAGGAGAGACCAAGAGAACAUUUGACAAUCCACUGACUUCCUAGAAAACAGAAGAGUGGGCUGGGCAUGGUGGCUCACACCUGUAAUCCCAACACUUUGGGAGGCUGAGGUGGGUGGAUCACCUGAGAUCAGGAAUUCGGGACCAGCCUGGAGAAACCCCAUCUCUAAAAAUACAAAAAUUAGCCGAACGUGGUGGCGCACGCCUGUAGUCCCAGCUACUCGAGAGGCUGAGGCAGGAGAAUGGCGUGAACCCAGGAGGCAGAGGUUGUAGUGAGCCAAGAUCGUGCCACUGCACUCCAGCCUGGGAGACAGAAUGACACUCCGUCUCAAAAAAAGAAAAAAAAAAAAAAAAAGAAGCAAAGUUUAGCUUUCCCAUGCCCCCACCCCCCGCACCCUCCCCCCCCCACCAAACACACACACACCCUCCUAUUCAUUCUUUCAAGUUAGGCCUAGGGCAACAUUAAAAAACAAACCUGUAAUCAGUAUUUA